rnacentral:misc_RNA from 1 species
AUAUAUAUAUCAAACCUUCUCUUGUAGAGUGGUUUGGAUGUGGGGGUUUGCUGGCCUUUUAGAGGGUUCAGCUCUCCUGAAAUGCAUUAGCAGAACAACCUGUUCAUUGGUGUGAUAACUAUCUACGCUAUUGAAUGUGAAGGGCAGUUCAGCUUUCUAACAGUCCUUGGACAAUUCAUCAUUA